AUACGGAGGAUCCGAGCGUUAUCCGGAUUUAUUGGGCUUAAAGGGAGCGUAGGUGGUUAAUUAAGUCAGCGGUGAAAGUUUGUGGCUCAACCAUAAAAUUGCCGUUGAAACUGGUUGACUUGAGUAUAUUUGAGGAAGGCGGAAUGCGUGGUGUAGCGGUGAAAUGCAUAGAUAUCACGCAGAACUCCGAUUGCGAAGGCAGCUUACUAAACUAUAACUGACACUGAAGCACGAAAGCGUGGGGAUCAAACAGGAUUAGAUACCCUGGUAGUCCACGCAGUAAACGAUGAUUACUAGCUGUUUGCGAUACACAGUAAGCGGCACAGCGAAAGCGUUAAGUAAUCCACCUGGGGAGUACGCCGGCAACGGUGAAACUCAAAGGAAUUGACGGGG
rnacentral:rRNA from 1 species